rnacentral:rRNA from 1 species
GUGACAAGGGGAUGUGCGGAUUUAGAAUCGAGCUGAUGGGUGGCAGCCGUCCAGCGAGGGGGUGGUGUAGUACUGGGGCGGUGGGGAGCUGCGGCUGCUGGGAGGCAGGCGGGGCUUGAGGCUGCGGGGAGGCAACGGAGGUGUCGAGGUCCAAAGGGAGGGUCUGCUAUAGGACCUCCUCUAGGAGGAGGCGGAGAGGUGGCGCCGGCUGGAGCGGGCGCGGAGGUGGAGAACGUGGAGUAAAGCGGUGCAGCAGCAAGGGGUGAGGAAGCGCGCGGCGAUGGCGAGGGAGGUGUUCCAGGGGCACGAGCCGAAGGAGGCACGACUGAAGAUGCGGCGGGUCAGAGGCGUGGGGAGGCGGGGCCGGCGGUUGCGGGAGCGCGUCCGACGGCUAAAGCGGAAGUCGAAGGAGGGGUUGGGGUGGACGACCUCGGGGGCACUGCAGGCGCUGCCGGCGCAAGAGAAGAGGCGGCAGAGUCAGAGGCUUCCAGCACCGCUGAAGUAUCUGCGGUGGAGGUUGUGGAAACACCUAGAGCACCAGACACUAGGGGACAGGGCCGCGAUGUAGGCCUAGGGUGGGCAGGGCCUUCUGGAUCGCCUGAGGCACGUCGUGACGCCGUACAAUCUAAAGCUCGGGAAAAAACGAGGCCGGUCACUGCUGCACGCCGUCCCACUUAGCAGCAAGUUUCACUAGACGUUCCACAACACGCUUUUGUUCCAACGACAGAAGCAGAAGAGAAGUGUGUGGCCAUUUACCCAAUCAUAAGUUGUGGUACCAAACCCGCGAAACAGGUUACUUCAACACCUACGUAACAUACGUGCGACACCUGACGUAGCCGCGGUAAUACGUGUGCCAACAAAGACAACCCACAAUCUUACCUACCUGUUUGACGAGUACGAACUGUGCGCACUCUACUUUAAGUGGUAAUAUCUAGAGGGCGGGUUGUCAGUACCCCCUUCCGAGCGGUAACACCUUCGUCCUCUUCCAUACUAACCCAACAAUUUAUAACCAUACGCGUGCAAUCUGAAGAUGACAUUCCAAACCGCUUUGUUUUCAUUUCCGUGGUUUCUCACCGUCGUGUCGUGCUAUUUGGUAGGCAACGGGUUAAUAGUGACCACGUAGUAACCACGCCUACUCCUCAUGAAUGAGGAUUCUCCCUAAAGUGAUCUAACCGGGACCAAACCUUCGAGAAGUGUCGUCUCUGGCCUAUAUCUCAUAAAACGUAACCUUGAGUUCUGUAAGGUCGAACUCUCCUACAUACACAGUUUCUUGUUUUACUACGUACGAGUGGACAUAGCUCCGAAGGGUGGUAAUAACAGAGGUGGUUCGUAUACUCCUGUAGAACUCCCCUGUUUCGUGGCACCUAUAGUCGUAGACAUGCUACCGAAAUGAUAUCUUCUUAUAUAGCCAACGAUGACCGUGACUCCAAUGACCUUUGAUUCCACAAACCCUUUCCAACUUCAAGUCAUCACCCUAAACGAGCUUGACGUCCUUUAAGUUGAUCACAUACCAUAAACAGCCCCGAAGUACUUUGUACUAGAUUUAGAGAUAUGUCGUCCUAAAUGAAAACCACCAGACCAAGUAAGGUCCUUGUACCUACAAGCCUUCCGGUUUAACGGAAAGUUUAUUCUAGAACACCCGAACGGGGUAUCGUGAUUUUCUGCCGUAAAGCUAUCGUCAAGUUCAGCUGUAUAUCUGUGGCCGGUCCUUUACUAAUUAAAAGAAAGGCACUUCACUCCUCUUGCGAUUAGUGUCUAGAACUAAACACCAGAUCGAAUUUUCUUUAUAAACAAACCCAAAGGUAACUUGAAAGAAGACGCUCAACCAAAGUGCCCUCCCCUUGGACCACUAACUAGUACCACAACCCCAACCCCACACAUUGGACCUAAAACACCUCCCAAACCUUAGUUUCGGAUACCUCCCAGCUGAUUAGUUCCGGCACAACGUAGUUCAACGAGCUCCUCUUCUUUUUACAGAACCUUCUGUCCUCCACCGGUAGACUAACACCGCGAUAGAAGAACCAGAGAACCACAAUCAGAGACUAAAACACCGCACCAGAACAAGACAUGAGACGACCAUCCCAACAAUAUAAGACAAAACUACGAGCACACAACACUCAGACGGUACAAGCCACUCACAGUGGUAGAAGGAACAUAGACACUCGUACAAAGAAUAUAUGAAGUUUUCGAGUCCUCCAAAAAAAGGGGUAAAACAGAUUCUGUAGUCGAUGAUAGCCAUCACAGAUGACCGACACUACUGUAGCUAGACAUCAAACUAAACAGGUUACAAGUAAGGUACAUGUUUAGACUUAUCUAUUUAUUUAACCUAGACAAGUAUUGGUC